rnacentral:rRNA from 1 species
GUGUCAGCAGCCGCGGUAAUACGGAGGGUGCAAGCGUUGUUCGGAAUCACUGGGCGUAAAGCGCGUGUAGGCGGCCUCUUAAGUCUGAUGUGAAAGCCCGGGGCUUACCCCCGGAAGUGCAUUGGAAACUGGGAGGCUAGAGUACCGGAGAGGAAGGUGGAAUUCCUGGUGUAGCGGUGAAAUGCGUAGAUAUCAGGAGGAACACCGGUGGCGAAGGCGGCCUUCUGGACGGAUACUGACGCUGAGACGCGAAAGCGUGGGGAGCAAACAGGAUUAGAUACCCUGGUAGUCCACGCUGUAAACGAUGGGCACUAGGUGUUCGGGGUAUUGACCCCCUGAGUGCCGCAGCUAACGCAUUAAGUGCCCCGCCUGGGGACUACGGCCGCAAGGUUAAA